CAGGACUGUUGGGAGGCAAGGCAGAGUGUUUUGAAUUCUCCUCCGAGGACCAGGAACUUAUUUUUUUGAUUACAUGGAUGUGCCCCACAGAUUUCCCUCACUGUGAGAUUUGUUCUACAUUACAUGUCUACAUUGCUGUUUCCCUGGAGAAUUGGGAGUGAUGAGAGAAGAGAAAAUGGAUAUCCAGGCUCCAGUCCCCAAGAAGUCAAACCGGCCCAAAGCUCCAGGCAUAUUAAAAUCAUUUACCAUUAAUGAAUGCUAGAAUGAAGUCCCAAACUCUAGUUCCAGCAUAUGACGGCAAAG
ensembl:lncRNA